AGUGUUGCCUCUGCUGAUGGUUCGCGCGGGGCACCGCCCCGUACGAGGCAAGAGGGAACCCGGUGUGAAUCCGGGACUGCCCCGCAGCGGUGAGUGGGAACGAGCACCGUUCCGCCCCGGGAGAUCCGGGGCGGGCCAUGGCACUGGGCGCCGUCGACGGCGCCUGGGAAGCCGCGGUCGGUAGGUGCGCCGGACGAACUUCCGGCGCGUGCCCACGAGUCCGAAGACCUGCCAUCGGUGCGCGCGCCUU
rnacentral:ncRNA from 1 species